rnacentral:tRNA from 1 species
AUUUAAAUAGCUUAUUUAGAGUAUAAUAUUGAAGAUAUUAGGGAGAUUAGUUAAAUCUUUAGAUA